GAUGAAGAACGUAGCGAAAUGCGAUAAGUAAUGUGAAUUGCAGAAUUCAGUGAAUCAUCGAAUCUUUGAACGCACAUUGCGCCCGCCAGUAUUCUGGCGGGCAUGCCUGUCCGAGCGUCAUUUCAACCCUCGAACCCCUCCGGGGGGUCGGCGUUGGGGACCUCGGGAGCCCCUAAGACGGGAUCCCGGCCCCGAAAUACAGUGGCGGUCUCGCCGCAGCCUCUCCUGCGCAGUAGUUUGCACAACUCGCACCGGGAGCGCGGCGCGUCCACGUCCGUAAAACACCCAACUUCUGAAAUGUUGACCUCGGAUCAGGUAGGAAUACCCGCUGAACUUAAGAAUAUCAAUAAGCGGAGGA
rnacentral:misc_RNA from 1 species